rnacentral:rRNA from 1 species
GACGAACGCUGGCGGCGUGCUUAACACAUGCAAGUCGAACGGAAAGGCCCUGCUUUUGUGGGGUGCUCGAGUGGCGAACGGGUGAGUAACACGUGAGUAACCUGCCCUUGACUUUGGGAUAACUUCAGGAAACUGGGGCUAAUACCGGAUAGGAGCUCCUGCUGCAUGGUGGGGGUUGGAAAGUUUCGGCGGUUGGGGAUGGACUCGCGGCUUAUCAGCUUGUUGGUGGGGUAGUGGCUUACCAAGGCUUUGACGGGUAGCCGGCCUGAGAGGGUGACCGGCCACAUUGGGACUGAGAUACGGCCCAGACUCCAACGGGAGGCAGCAGUGGGGAAUAUUGCACAGUGGGCGGAAGCCUGAUGCAGCAACGCCGCGUGCGGGAUGACGGCCUUCGGGUUGUAAACCGCUUUCGCCUGUGACGAAGCGUGAGUGACGGUAAUGGGUAAAGAAGCACCGGCUAACUACGUG